CCUACGGGUGGCAGCAGUGGGGAAUAUUGCACAAUGGGGGAAACCCUGAUGCCGCGACGCCGCGUGAGCGAUGAAGUAUUUCGGUAUGUAAAGUUCUAUCAGCAGGGAAGAAAAUGACGGUACCUGACUAAGAAGCACCGGCUAACUACGUGCCAGCAGCCGCGGUAAUACGGAGGGGGCAAGCGUUAUCCGGAUUUAAUGGGGGUAAAGGGGGCGUAGACGGUCCUGCAAGCCAGAUGUGAAAGCCGGGGGCUCAACCCCGGGACUGCAUUUGGAACUGUACGGCUAUAGUGUCGGAGAGGGAGGCGGAAGUCCUAGUGUAGCGGUGAAAUGCGUAGAUAUUAGGAGGAACACCAGUGGCGAAGGCGGCCUGCUGGACGAUGACUGACGUUGAGGCUCGAAAGCGUGGGGAGCAAACAGGAUUAGAUACCCUGGUAGUC
rnacentral:rRNA from 1 species